rnacentral:sRNA from 1 species
CGGGCUGUCCCCUCCGGGGGCGGCGAUCCUCCCUCCGGAGCCCCCCGCAACCCUCCCGGAAGUGGGCAUUUGCAGGACCAGGGAUGCUGCACUGCUCUCCCAUGAGCCAGUCACCAAGUCUGUCUGCUGCAAGCCCUUUCUGAACCUCUGGCUGUCUGGAUGCUCCACUGUGCUCCUUGCCAAGAUGAAGUGCGUCUUGGUGGCCACUGAGGGUGCAGAGGUCCUCUUCUACUGGACAGAUGAGGAGUUUGAAGAGAGUCUUCGGCUGAAGUUCAGGCAGUCAGAGAAUGAGGAAGAGCUCCCUGCCCUGGAGGACCAGCUCAGCACGCUCCUAGCCCCGGUCAUCAUCUCCUCCAUGACGAUGCUGGAGAAGCUGUCGGACACCUACACCUGCUUCUCCACGGAAAACGGCAACUUCCUGUAUGUCCUUCACCUGGCUGCGGCCCCCAGACCUGGGGCAGCGUGUCCAGCUGUGGGAGCACUUCCAGAGCCUGCUGUGGACCUACAGCCGCCUGCGGGAGCAGGAGCAGUGCUUCGCCGUGGAGCCACAGUGCCAGCUCCCUGCGCCCGGCCGACCUGCUCGCCCUCAUCCUCCUGGUUCAGGACCUCUACCCUAGCGAGAGCACAGCAGAGGACGACAUUCAGGAGACAGACAGCUUCUCCCUCCCUGAGGAGUACUUCACACCAGCUCCUUCCCCUGGCGAUCAGAGCUCAGGUAGCAUCAUCUGGCUGGAGGGGGGCACCCCACCCAUGGAUGCCCUUCAGAUAGCAGAGGACACCCUCCAAACGCUGGCUCCCCACUGCCCUGAGCCUUCCGGCCCCAGAAGGAUCUUCCUGGAUGCCAA